rnacentral:rRNA from 1 species
UUACUUGAAUGGUGUGUGGUGUGUGCGGUGCCUUUCAUGGCGCGGCCUCACUGGAGUGGCUCUUUCUUGUGAAUCACUUACUGUUGAGUUGACUCUUUCCCCAUGGUGUUUGGCUCGUGCGAGAUGAAAAUCUGGCUGGGCUGGGUGGUGCGGCUGGAGGUUGUAGAAGGGUGCCUGAUGGUGCCAUUUUGAAACUCUAAUCCACUCACUGUUCUCAUUGGAGAAGAGUUUACUUGCACAAUUCUUUUGUGCUGUGAUUGGUUUGCAUUUUAUCCCUGCAAUGAAGGCCGCUCUAGUACUGUGUGCUAUGUGCUGAGCUCUCAUCGCCUACCAUCUGAUCUCUACUCAGACAAGAGGACCCGCUGAAUUUAAGCAUAUAACUAAGCGGAGGAAAAGAAACCAACUAGGAUUCCCCCAGUAAGGGCGACUGAAGCGGGAUGAGCUCACAGUGUGAAUUGGUGCUGUUUAGCACUGAAUUGUGGUCUGUGGACAUAGGCGCUCGUGGUGCCAGGCUAAGUUUCUUGGAAAAGAACAGCUGAGAGGGUGAUACUCCCGUGUGCCUGGCCAACAAGCCUGUGUCAAAGAGUCGAGUUGUUUGGGAUUGCAGCUCAAAUUGGGUGGUAAAUUCCAUCUAAAGCUAAAUAUUGGUGGGAGACCGAUAGCGCACAAGUACCGUGAGG